AACCGUUCAACUAAAUUUUACAGUGGGGUCAUGAGAUUCAAGGAUUCUUUGUACUUACAGCGUCCGGUCAUCUCAAGGAUCUUGCCGGGAUGCUGCCUUCUAUUCCUUACUUACUUCCUGAAACUGCUCAUCUGUUGUCCCUCCAUGUGAAGGAGAUCUUCAGAGAUCUUCAAUCAGUGACCUGGAAGCAAGCAGCUAUUCUUCUUGCUGUAUCAGCUAUUCUUCCUUCAUUAUUUCCUGAGUGAACUGGGUAUGGAGUGGAUGGGCCAGCAGGAACUCAUGCAGCAUAGAGCUCUGCACAAUUAACAUGGCAAAAAAAAAACACCUAAGCAAAAAAAGAUGUUUAACUUUUUUUAGGUUAAAUUUGUACUGUUUUAUUAUUUGUUGAAUUUUUAAUUGUUUUUGUACAGUUCCUAUUUAAUUUGAUAAUACGAAAACCAUCUUGCACCAAUUGUUUCAGAUAAUCAACGCACUGCUGUAAACAGUCCUUUUACCUCUAAUCAUAAAGAUCAAUAGAACAUAGAUUUAAGCAGUAUUACAUAUUAAAUAUUUAGUAUAGAGAAAUAAGAAAAUAACA